UUAUAUGAGAGUUUGAUCCUGGCUCAGGAUGAACGCCGGCGGUGUGCCUAAUACAUGCAAGUCGAACGCGUUGGCCCAAUUGAUUGAUGGUGCUUGCACCUGAUUGAUUUUGGUUGCCAGCGAGUGGCGGACGGGUGAGUAACACGUAGGUAACCUGCCCAGAAGCGGGGGACAACAUUUGGAAACAGAUGCUAAUACCGCAUAACAGCGUUGUUCGCAUGAACAACGCUUAAAAGAUGGCUUCUCGCUAUCACUUCUGGAUGGACCUGCGGUGCAUUAGCUUGUUGGUGGGGUAACGGCCUACCAAGGCGAUGAUGCAUAGCCGAGUUGAGAGACUGAUCGGCCACAAUGGGACUGAGACACGGCCCAUACUCCUACGGGAGGCAGCAGUAGGGAAUCUUCCACAAUGGGCGCAAGCCUGAUGGAGCAACACCGCGUGAGUGAAGAAGGGUUUCGGCUCGUAAAGCUCUGUUGUUAAAGAAGAACACGUAUAAGAGUAACUGUUCAUACGUUGACGGUAUUUAACCAGAAAGUCACGGCUAACUACGUGCCAGCAGCCGCGGUAAUACGUAGGUGGCAAGCGUUAUCCGGAUUUAUUGGGCGUAAAGAGAGUGCAGGCGGUUUUCUAAGUCUGAUGUGAAAGCCUUCGGCUUAACCGGAGAAGUGCAUCGGAAACUGGAUAACUUGAGUGCAGAAGAGGGUAGUGGAACUCCAUGUGUAGCGGUGGAAUGCGUAGAUAUAUGGAAGAACACCAGUGGCGAAGGCGGCUACCUGGUCUGCAACUGACGCUGAGACUCGAAAGCAUGGGUAGCGAACAGGAUUAGAUACCCUGGUAGUCCAUGCCGUAAACGAUGAGUGCUAGGUGUUGGAGGGUUUCCGCCCUUCAGUGCCGGAGCUAACGCAUUAAGCACUCCGCCUGGGGAGUACGACCGCAAGGUUGAAACUCAAAGGAAUUGACGGGGGCCCGCACAAGCGGUGGAGCAUGUGGUUUAAUUCGAAGCUACGCGAAGAACCUUACCAGGUCUUGACAUCUUGCGCCAACCCUAGAGAUAGGGCGUUUCCUUCGGGAACGCAAUGACAGGUGGUGCAUGGUCGUCGUCAGCUCGUGUCGUGAGAUGUUGGGUUAAGUCCCGCAACGAGCGCAACCCUUGUUACUAGUUGCCAGCAUUAAGUUGGGCACUCUAGUGAGACUGCCGGUGACAAACCGGAGGAAGGUGGGGACGACGUCAGAUCAUCAUGCCCCUUAUGACCUGGGCUACACACGUGCUACAAUGGACGGUACAACGAGUCGCGAACUCGCGAGGGCAAGCAAAUCUCUUAAAACCGUUCUCAGUUCGGACUGCAGGCUGCAACUCGCCUGCACGAAGUCGGAAUCGCUAGUAAUCGCGGAUCAGCAUGCCGCGGUGAAUACGUUCCCGGGCCUUGUACACACCGCCCGUCACACCAUGAGAGUUUGUAACACCCAAAGUCGGUGGGGUAACCUUUUAGGAGCCAGCCGCCUAAGGUGGGACAGAUGAUUAGGGUGAAGUCGUAACAAGGUAGCCGUAGGAGAACCUGCGGCUGGAUCACCUCCUUU
rnacentral:rRNA from 1 species